GACGAACGCUGGCGGCGUGCUUAACACAUGCAAGUCGAACGGAAAGGCCCUGCUUUUGUGGGGUGCUCGAGUGGCGAACGGGUGAGUAACACGUGAGUAACCUGCCCUUGACUUUGGGAUAACUUCAGGAAACUGGGGCUAAUACCGGAUAGGAGCGCCUGCUGCAUGGUGGGGGUUGGAAAGUUUCGGCGGUUGGGGAUGGACUCGCGGCUUAUCAGCUUGUUGGUGGGGUAGUGGCUUACCAAGGCUUUGACGGGUAGCCGGCCUGAGAGGGUGACCGGCCACCUUGGGACUGAGAUACGGACCAGACUCCAACGGGAGGCAGCAGUGGGGAAUAUUGCACAAUGGGCGGAAGCGUGAUGCAGAAACGCCGCGUGCGGGAUGACGGCCUUCGGGUUGUAAACCGCUUUCGCCUGUGACGAAGCGUGAGUGACGGUAAUGGGUAAAGAAGCACCGGCUAACUACGUG
rnacentral:rRNA from 1 species